GCGUGGUCCUAGCUCUUGGGCACCUUACUAGCCAAAAGGUCAGGCAAAAGAGCGCCAAAAGGAAAUAACAGGUGCUGCAUGCACACAUUCAAUGCGCAACAGCACACCAUACAAUACAAGUAAAAUGAUACGGAACAUAAUUCGGACAAAGUAAAAGACAUACAUUAUGUUAACGCUUGGCGCGGUGCUAGCUCUCAGGCACCUACACAUGGACACUCAAACACUGUCCCAAGUCCUCACAAGUUACAAUAGAUACCCUAGUUAGCGAGCUUUGUGAAACUAGUUAACAUAAAUAUUUAUAUUAUCCACAUUGUAACAAACGUAUGGUAGCAUAACAGUACAUUGUGUAACAUUACCACGGUUUUAUAUUGAACCAUUUCGGAGCCAAGGACAACAUACCUUGCUAGCCGAAGGUCAGGCAAAAUAACAAUAAGGGGGUACGGAAAUACAGAUAACCCGCGAUGGACCAAACCAAAACAUACAAAACUUUUACAAUCACAUGUAUGUACAAUAUUGAUGUGGAAAAGUGUUUGUACACCAAAGAAAAACAUUAGCUAUGCAGCUGUAAUUAAAUAAAUAAAUACACUGAAUUAUGAUUAUUAUCAAAUUAUUAACAUCCCCUCAGAGUUGUCCAUUUUUAAAGAAAUGCAGCCAAUUUAUUCAUUACAUUUAGCUAACAUAGUUAAUCAAGAGAUUCUUACUUUUGCCUCCAUCAGCAUGAUUGUAAUGACAUUUGUAGUUCUUUAUAACCACAUUAGCAGCUAAUUAGCAUUCCAUGUUGGGUAAAUACAGGCAAAUAUAUUGAUAAAAGUCACCUUGACCUAGAGAUUUACACAGAUAUCAAACUGUCACACCAGGGUAAACCUACCUGAACCACAGCCCUUAUUUUGUGAAAAUGGAAUGGAAUGGUGGAAAAACAAUUGGAACCAUUUCCCUGUUUGACCGCUAGGUUUUAUGGUAUUAUGACUCAUACUGUGGUACUCUAUAGGGCUCCGGCCAAAAUAAGUGCUGUCUUUCAGGAAUCAGUGGGAAUGACCUCACCCUCACAGACCUGGGUGACCCCAUCAAUGACGGUGAUGUUAUGAAGGAAGUCAAACCUGAUACAGAUCAGAGAGACAGACCAAGUUGGAAGAGGCUGUUCUAGAGACAGAUAUCCCAACUCUGUGACUUGAGGAUGAAGGAGAAAUUAAGAUGCAGGAGGCUGAUCUGAAGACAGAUGGCACAUCUCAGUCACAGGAGGUUGAGGGAGAGAGCGAGUUGGACGAGGCCAUUGUCAUCCCAUCUCAGUCACAGGAGGAGGCCAAAGGAGA
ensembl:lncRNA